GACGUAGGGCGCGAGCGUUGUCCGGAUUUAUUGGGCGUAAAGAGCUCGUAGGCGGCUUGUCGCGUCGACUGUGAAAUCCCGCGGCUCAACUGCGGGUCUGCAGUCGAUACGGGCAGGCUAGAGUUCGGUAGGGGAGACUGGAAUUCCUGGUGUAGCGGUGAAAUGCGCAGAUAUCAGGAGGAACACCGAUGGCGAAGGCAGGUCUCUGGGCCGACAUUGACGCUCAUGUACGAGAGCGUGGGGAGCAAACAGG
rnacentral:rRNA from 1 species